rnacentral:sRNA from 1 species
UGGAAUCCGGAGGCUAAAUCUAAAGUAGC